AGUGUAGCUCAGAGGCAGAGCACUUGCCUAGGAUGUAUGAGGUCCAGGGUUCAAUUCCCAGCACU
rnacentral:tRNA from 1 species